rnacentral:lncRNA from 1 species
UUACUCAUGCAAUUAGCUGGACACAUCUGAGGUUUCACGGACUAGCAAACACAGAGCACAGAUGGAAUUUGAUGCCAUGAAAACUUGUUACUGCUUUUUUAUUUGGAAAACAGAGAGAAAGAACGGUUGUUGCACGACCGACCUAAACACACACCACGUUCCUAAUGACUCGUGCCAUCCCACGAAUCAGAUCAUGCGUGCAUGAUCUACAGCUCCACUAUUAUCGCGUGUGAUCCGAAGUGCCAUGCCAUCCCAUGACUCGGUUCACGACAUGGUAGAAACAGGAGCGACCCCUACCUGACACAUGGACUCGACGCAGACAUGCUUGCCGUCGAGACCGACUCUCAGUGCAUACCGUCUGCUCGCAGGCAGCUGUGUGGCACGUUAUUUGGAACAAACAAAUUGAAAGGAAAAAAAUUAAGGCAUGCACUAAAUUUACUUCAAUAGAUCAGCCCUUGAUCCACAAACCCACAUCGCGAAGUGGUCUUAGUGGAUCUCAUCACUCUCUGAGUCGAUCUCGUCGUUCUCCGAGUCGGAUAAGUGGUUGUCCACCUGCUCGUGCCUAGCCUGCAAUGCCGUCAACCACAAACACCACAUCCAGAUUCCGUUACAUUCCCUCAUCACCCAGGCAGAAAAAACUGAAAACCUUGGAAAAAUAGAAUGGAGACGAGUUCAUACCCUCCUCAUCUGGGCACGAUGGUUCUUGAACCAGAAUUUGAUAUGCUGGGGCUCCACGCGAAACUCGCGACCGAGAUGAGCGCGCUGGGCCUCAUCGGGGUUGGGGCACUCCAUGAAAACACUGCCGUUUUCAAAAAAAAUAAAAGUAAAAGAAAACCAUGAAUACCGUGCACAUGAAUCACCAUGAAAAUAUGACACGAGAAAUAAGCUGUAGGAAAUGGUGCUUGAUCAACCUCUCAAGGAUCUGAAAUUUUUUGUCACUUAGGUCCAUUGUUACCAAUUUCUCGUUUGCUCGCUCACACUCUCCCGGGCUGGCUAGAGGAAGAGAAAGUGGAGGCAGGAAGAUAUCUACAUACUGGAUGCUAUGUGACCUCUGGUUUGCUUCUAUUUAUACACGAGAGGGCGGUGUUUCUCCUCUGUCAGAAUGCUGGCACAAAGAAGGGCCUGUCUGUGUGACCUCUGGCUUGCUGCUGGCAGUCUCCUGGUCGGUCUCUCUUAAUGCCUCCUCCUUUUUGGCUUCUUCCACCCUAUAUUGUUGACCGUCCGUCCCUGUAUUGCUUGGGAGCGCCAGCAGCAGAAACGUUCGCUUUGACUUUUGACCACCUCGGGUCGCUCGCCGGCUGUCUUGAAUGUUUCUCUUUAUGCAUCCUCUCUCUUGGCUUCAUCCCUGGCUUGCUCGCGAGCGCCAGCAGUAGCGUGGUAGUACUAGUAACUAAUGCGAUGUAAUAAGCUUAUAUCAACAAAUUCAAAUCAUAGUACAGGUCAAUUGGGUUAUUGACCUGUGAUGUACUCCCUCGGUAAAGAAAUAUACUCCCUCCGUCUAGGUGUAUAAGUCAUCUUAGGUUGUAAAGAAAUAUACUCCCUCCUCAUUUAGCAGAAUUUGCAAAGCACUUCAAAUCAAUUGGGUUUAUGGACCUGCAUCAGUACGAGUCCUACUGGGUUUGGAUGCAACAAACAAAUGCAGAGUUACCUGAAAAUGGCCGGUGACCUGUCUUGAGUUCGUAAUUUCUCCCAUCCCACAAUUACCAUUGUUCCUCUUGUAGAAAGGGAGAUAAUUAGUCCUGAGUUACGUCCAUGUAUUAGUUGUUAACCAUUAUAUAAUAAAUUCUGCAAUAUUUUACUAGCAUGCAAUUGAUAGGCAUUAAUUUCCAGCCUCUUAAUUAUGUAUGGAUAUCAAAUUAAUCAAUAGUACAGGUGGGUCAUUAUCCUCUAAAUCAUAAUAUUCAAAUUCUAAGUAAGAAAAGCAGAACAAUGACCGACCUAUUAUUGCAAGCCCUAUCAUGUAUCAUUAGGCUAGAUAUGGCAAUAUGUUUGCUUCAGUGCACCAUUGCACUCCUUUUACAAUGGACGUUCUGUUACAAAAUCUUUUCAUCUACAUGGGAGAUUAUAUUUUGUCUUGUUUUCUUAUUAAACAUGAAACAACACAACGUCAAGAUCUUGAUCCACAAUUCUUGUUCCAUAUAAUUUGAUUCAAGUGAAAGUUCUGAAGUAACAUGCCUUUCUUAUUUCCUGUCGUUUGUUCCAAAAAUACGAUAUAUCCUUCAGCCAUAAAACUACAACAACUCAUAAGAACUACAACCAUUUCCCUCUUGCAAAACCUUUUUCAUACUUCCUCCACAACCAUUAUACGUACCAUGCAUAUCCAUGAUGAACCCCGACCACACCAAUGCACGCCAUAUAAUCCGGUGGCCGCCCGAAGUCGGCGCCUGCGAGCCGAGAACACCAACCAGCCUAACAGACCCACAACACAUACCACAUGCGCGCGCUCUAGGAUCCUGCGCUGCCAUCUACUGCCGUCCCAUCUUCAAGAGGGAUCCUUGCACUAACAUUCCCAGGCCCAACCGCCGUUGACACCAGACAAUGUCACUAGCCUCCAUGGAUCCAUCAACCCACCUCCAACGCCGAUACUCCACUGCACCAUGUCGCCGAGACCCACCAUUUUUGAUGUGGUAGAUGCAACACCGCUCCACCUCUUAGCCCCUCCAGUCAGUACCUAUCCAAAAGAGUGCGCUAGGAGAGAGAAUGACACAAGUCUUCGUCAUCAUCCGAUCUUGGAGAACCGGAUCUAGGGUUUCCCCUGGAGCAGAUGCCUCCUGGAGGAAGAAGAGCAUGCCAUCUGCAGUGGCCAUCGAACCCAAACGGUGCCCACCCGCGUAAUGAGCCAUUUUCUUAGAGUUGUGUUGUUGUUCUUCAGCAUCCUUGUACAAUGCCUUGUGUGCGUGUUUUGCGGUGUCGUGUCCUGUUGUGUUGUAUGUGCUGAAUUGUAUGAUUUCUAUAUAAAGUGGAGCGGAAGUCUUGUUGAUAAACAAUGAGAUCAGUUACCUCAGUUGAAACUUGAAAGUGCAUGUUUUGAUUUUGACAGCGGAAGUCAGGGCCAAGGCCGACCUCAUGCGCAGGAAAAGGGACAAGCACACAUGUACCCAAGCUUUUUUCUUCUUUGGUUGCCUAUUGUUUGCUUGCGCUUAAUCCUACCAGAUUAUCAAUUGAUUAAUAUAUUUGCUUGAAUAAUGCAUUAUCAUCUGAUUUCUUGCUUAGAUCCAUGUGUUCUCUAUUUUCAAACAGUUUUGGACUGGGCCUAUUUUUUCAAUUGGAUAAUUUUGGUGCACAAAUUUAUCGAAUCGAAAUAAACCAGUUUAUUUUCUUCUGUUUUCCUUUCUAUAGGAACCUAUGUGUUGGCGUUCGAUAGGACAUAUGUUUUUGAGAAACCUAACCAAGUUCAUAUACCAAAUGCUGACCUUUACUUAAUCAUGUCCCAAGCACCCGUUGUCGUUGGUUUCACGGCAANNNNNNNNNNNNNNNNNNNNNNNNNNNNNNNNNNNNNNNNNNNNNNNNNNNNNNNNNNNNNNNNNNNNNNNNNNNNNNNNNNNNNNNNNNNNNNNNNNNNNNNNNNNNNNNNNNNNNNNNNGCAUGGCAUCCAACGAUGGUCAUGCCGACGGCCAUCAUCAUAUAGAAUCACGCGCUUGUUGCAUAACCUAAGUCGUCGUAGUUCGUCCGGGUCAAUAUAUCGGCCAUUGUGUCGAUCCCCGAACUCGCGCACAACAUAUUACAUGAUUGGUUCACCGCGGUUGACCUCCUUGCCAUUGGAGAACGUUGCAUGCCGCGCAACUUUCUUCGGACUCUACGAUACCUUCACAUGCCCAAGUGCACUUGGAUAUGAUACUGAAUGUUUGUCAGCGACCCAAGAUAACUAAUGCAAUUAGCUGGAUACAUAUGAGGUUUUACUGAAAAAGGCUUUCGUCCCGCUUUAUAUAUAAAGCCACAUCAACAACUUUCGGUACAAACGCACGCCACCACAACACACGCACACACCCAAGGCAGGAUACAUAGGCGCUGAGCGCAACAAUAACACCCCUAACUACGAAGAGAUGAAGCCACAUAUGACGAACCGUGGACUCCAAGACGGCGCCUUCAGGAAGGAUAUGACACCGGAGCCCCGCCACCGCCCGACACGAGGGUCAGAGUUUCCCCUGGAGCAACACAAUGGGCAAUGAGAGCCUGGACGACGCCUUCAAAAAGGGAACGAGUUACGCCGCCGUCAGUCCGUCCGAGGAUAGAAUAGGUUUUCACCCCGGCCAACACUCACCACCACUGAACGCCACACCCAUGCAACCAUGCCGCCCACACGGCCAUGGCCACCGGGCAGCACCAAGCCACGGCCUCUGCCCAUGAGCACCGUGCUCCCACCACCAGGGCCGCCGCCCCCGCAUCCAAGACCAAGAGCCCACCUCACUCGAGACCCAUCGCUACCCCAACCAAAGGGACAAGCGGAAAGGCCCGGCCUUUCGCACCCCUGGGAGGCCCCCAGCGCCGAGACCCAAUCGGCCGGCCAAAAUUGGCCAUCAUCACCGCGUCCUACAGACCCGGGCACGAGGCGAGCUCGGUCCUGCUGCCGGGCGCAAGACGAGCUCGGUCCUGUGACACCGGGCGCGAGACGGGCAAUGGACCGCGGCUGGGAGCCGGCCAGCCCUUUGAUGCAAGUAGUGCCUGAACGACGAGGAGGUGAAGCGAAGGCCGAUACGGCCCGACCGCAGACGAGCCGACGCCGGAGAAGCCGACCGCCGCCGCAAGCAAAUCCGCCGAGCCACCAUGUAGCCGCCGCACCACCAAGAGGUCACCAUGCCGGACCUCCCACGCCGCCGCCCACGGCAAGAACAACAGCCACGCCCGGCCGCUGCCCCCAUGGGAGCAACUGCCACGCCUGGCCAGCCGCCCCAUUCUGCGUCGCCAGCCGCCCCCAUAUGAGGUUUUACUCUAGCAAACACAGAGCACACAUGGAAUUUGAUGCCAUUAAAACUUGCUACAGCUUUUUUAUUUGGAAUACAGAGAGAAAGUACGGUCGUUGCACGAUCGACCUAAACACACACCACGUUCCUAAUGACUCGUGCCAUCCCACGAAUCAGAUCAUGCGUGCAUGAUCUACAGCUCCCCUAUUAUCGUGUUUGAUCCGAUGUGCCAUGCCAUCCCAUGACUCGGUUCAUGACGUGGUAGAAACAGGAGCGACCCCAACCUGACACAUGGACUCGAUGCAUGGACUCGACGCAGACAUGUUUGCCGUCGAGACCGACUCUCAGUGCGUACCAUCUGCUCGGAGGCGGCUCUAUGGCACGUUAUUCGGAACAAACAGAUUGAAGGAAAAAGAACCUAGGGCAUGCACUAAGUUUACUUCAAUGGAUCAGCCCUCCAUCCACAAACCCACAUGGCGAAUUUGUCUUGGUGGAUCUCGUCGUUCUCUGAGUCAAUCUCGUCGUUCUCUGAGUCGAUCUCGUGGUUCUCCGAGUCGGAUAAAUGGUUGUCAACCUGCUCAUCCGUGGCCUGCCAUGGCUUCAAGCACAAACACUACAUCGAGAUCCAUUACAUUCCAUCAUGACCAGGUGGAAAAAACUGAAAUUUGGAAAAAUUGAAAGGAGAUCGAGUUCAUACCCUCCUCAUCUGGGCACGGCGGUUCUUGAACCAGAAUUUGAUCUGCUGUGGCUGCAUGCCAAGUUCGCGGCCGAGAUGGGCGCGCUGGGUCUCAUCAGGGUAGAGGAACACCUUGAAAGUCCUGCAGUUUUCAAAAAAGGAAAAAGAAAACCUUGAAUACCCUGUACAUGGAUCACCAUGAAAAUAUGACAGGAGAAAUAAGCCAUAGGAAAUGGUGCUUCAUCAACCUCUCGAGUAUCUGAAUCUGGUUGUCACUUAGAUCCAUUGUUACCAAUUUCUUGCUUGCUCGCUCACUCUCCCAGGCUACCUAGAGGAAGAGGAAGUGGAGGCAGGAAGAUAUCUUCGUACUGGAUGAUGCGUGCCUCUGGUUUGCUCCUAUUUAUACAUGAGAGGCUGGUGUUUCUCCUCUGUCACAGUGCUGGCGCAAAGAAGCGCCCGUCUGUGUGACCUCUGGCUUGUUGCUGGCAGUCUCCUGGCCGGUCUCUCUUAAUGCCUCCUCCUAUUUGGCUUCUUCCAGCAUAAAUUGCUGACCGUCCAUCCCUGUAUUGCUCUGGAGCGCCAGCAGCAGAAACAUUCGCUUUGACUUUUGACCACCUCGGCUGUCUUGAAGGUUCCUCUUUCCAACGCUGGUCCACAGCCUAGACAUUGUGGACGAUUUUGAGACGAUGCAGCGCAUCAAGCCAUCAAUGCAAUUAGAAAAACUGAGCAUCACCGUCCACUCCUCCCGUCGUCCAAAGUUCGGCCGGCGACUGUCGUCCCUACAGCAAUUUCGUUCUCUUUAUGCCUCCUCUCUCUUGGCUUCGUCCCUGUCUUGCUCGGGAGUGCCAGCAGUAGCCUGGUAGUACUAUUAACUAAUGCGAUGUAAGAAUCUGUAAAGCACUUCAAAUCACCCAUGAUAAGAAAACUUAGCAAAACAUUUCAAAAAAUUCUGAAUUUUUUGGAUGUGAUUAUGACCAAAUAAUUUAGGUGCUUGCAAAAGUUGAUGGUGAAAUGACAUCCGGGGAACUCUGUACAAAAAAACAAAUUUGUGCUGAAAGCAUGUGAAUAGUAACAUGGUGCAGAGCAUCAUUUGUAUUCCGUUUUGUAUGAAGAUCAUUUGAUGUUUUUUGGUGACCAUACUUUGCAAGCUCCUAAAAUAUUUGCUCAUAAUCAUGUCGAGGAAAUUUCAGAAUUUUUAAUUUCUUAAUAUUUUUUUAAUUUACUGUUUACUCCAUGGGUGCACCAAAGUGGGUGGAGCCACUACUUUCCCAAGAGUUUAUGGACCUGCUUCUGUACGAGUCGUACUGGGUUUGGAUGCAACAAACAAAUGUAGCUACACAAAUGUAUGGCUUGUUAACCAUUAUAAUCAAUUCUAAAAUAUUUUAGCAUGCAAUUAGUAGGCAUUAAUUUUCAGCGAUCAGGUGGUGUCGGCGAUCCUUUGUCCUUCCCUUACUGAAGGCGCCACCUUGGAGUACUUGGUUCGUCGUGUGUGGCUUCAUCUCUUCGAGGUGACUUGUUCAUGGUUGAGGGUUGUGGUGACUUCAAGCGGCGCUCUCUAUCCUACCAGCCGUUUGCUUGGAGUUGUGUUGUUGUUCUUUAACAUCUUUGUAUCAUGCCUUGUGUGCACGUGUUACGGUGUCAUGUCGUAUUGUAUCUGCUGGAUUGUACUCUGUCAUGUCGUAUUGUAUCUGCAAGGUCAUCAUCGUAAUAUCUUUUACAAGAGUAUCGACAAUCUCUACGGGUGGAUCUUCCAUCCACCCUGCACGCAGCUUACUUCUCGCUAGUUUGGCUAAAUCAUGGGCAGCACAAUUAGUCUCUUUAGGAGCAUGCUCAAAAAUAAUAUGCGGGAAAUCACAUGCAGGGUGAUAUAUAUAAUCAAAAACGGCCGCUGAUAGACCGUAAUAGUGAUACGUCUCCAACGUAUCUAUAAUCUUUGAUGUAUUCAUGUCAUGUUUAUAAUAUUUUUACAUGCUUUUGGUAUGAUUUGGUUAGAACUAACCCGGACCGACGUUCUUUUCAGUAGAACCACCAUGGUGUUGUUUUUGUGCAGAAAUAAAAGUUCUCGGAAUGUGCUGAAAAUCAACGGAGAUUUUUUUUUGGAAAAUAUAAAAAAUACUGAAACAAAAAGUUAUCGAAGAGGAGUCCCGUGGGGCCCACGAGGGCGGAGGGCGCGCCCACCCCCUAGGGCACGCCCCUGUGCCUCAUGGACUCCCCGUGGGUCCCCCUAACUUGUUCGCGACGCCAAACCCUCCUAUAAAUACCCGAACUUCCAGAAAGAAACCUAGAUCGGGAGUUCCGCCACCGCAAGCCUCUGUAGCCACGAAAAACCUCUUUGAGCCCGUUUCAGCACCCUGCCGGAGGGGGAAUCCAUCACCGGUGGCCAUCUUCAUCAUCCCAGCGCUCUCCAUGACGCGGAGGGAGUAGUUCUCCCUCGGGGCUGAGGGUAUGUACCAGUAGCUAUGUGUUUGAUCUCUCUCUCUCUCUCUCUCUCUCUCUCUCUCUCUCUCUCUCGUGUUCUUGAUUUGGCACGAUCUUGAUGUACCGCGAGCUUUGCUAUUAUAGUUGGAUCUUAUGAUGUUUCUCCCCCUCUGCUCUUUUGUAAUGGAUUGAGUUUUCCCUUUGAAGUUAUCUUAUUGGACUGAGUCUUUAAGGAUUUGAGAACAGUUGAUGUAUGUCUUGCAUGUGCUUAUUUGUGGUGACAAUGGGAUAUCACGUGAUCUACUAGAUGUAUGUUUUGGUGGUCAACUUGCGGGUUCGGUGACCUUUGAACUUAUGCAUAGGGGUUGGCACAUGUUUUCGUCUUGACUCUCCGAUAGAGACUUUGGGGCACUCUUUGAAGUUCUUUGUGUUGGUUGAAUAGAUGAAUCUGAGAUUGUGUGAUGCAUAUCAUAUAAUCAUACCUGCGGAUACUUGAGGUGACAUUGGAGUAUCUAGGUGACAUUAGGGUUUCGGUUGAUUUGUGUCUUAAGGUGUUAUUUUACUACAAAUUCUAGGGCUGUUUGUGACACUUGUAGGAAUAACCCAAUGGAUUGAUCGAAAAGAAUAACUUUGAGGUGGUUUCGUACCCUACAAUAAUCUCUUCAUUUGUUCUCUGCUAUUAGUGACUUUGGAGUGACUCUUUGUUGCAUGUUGAGGGAUAGUUAUAUGAUCCAAUUAUCUUAUUAUUGUUGAGAGAACUUGCACUAGUGAAAGGAUGAACCCUAUGCCUUGUUUCCUACCAUUGCAAUACCGUUUACGCUCACGUUUACCACUUGCUACCUUGCUGUUUUUUAUAUUUUCAGAUUACAAAAACCUAUAUCUACCAUCCAUAUUGCACUUGUAUCACCAUCUCUUCGCCGAACUAGUGCACCUAUACAAUUUACCAUUGUAUUGGGUGUGUUGGGGACACAAGAGACUCUUUGCUAUUUGGUUGCAAGGUUGUUUGAGAGAGACCAUCUUCAUCGUACGCCUCCCACGGACUCAUAAACCUUAGGUCAUCCACUUGAGGGAAAUUUGCUACUGUCCUACAAACCUCUGCACUUGGAGGCCCAACAACGUCUACAAGAAGAAGAUUGUGUAGUAGACAUCAAAUAGCGACAUCAAUUAUUCAUUGUCUCUAUCACCUCUAUGCAAUUACACCAAUCGAUUUACCCGUUUCAUGCCGCGACGAAUCUACCAUUCGAGUCUCUGAUGACGGUGCCAUAUGAGCCAUAAGUCUGGGUCAAAAGCCCAAUCUAUGUUUAGCUUCACAUAGUUGCUCUUUGGUAUUUCCCAGCCAUGAUGCUUGAUCUUCGCCUUUGCAUCACUCGUCGUAGUACAGUUAGCAACCAAAGCUAUGAUUGCCAUUGCUAUGAACAUAGGUUCUUGGACCAUUUCAAUACGCACUAACUCCCCCCCCACCGACCAUAAAUAUCAGGAACCAAUAGCAAUUGAUUCUAUUGAAUUUUCUAGACCGAGGACCACACAUUCUUUAGCUAGUUGCAACAAUAAAUAUUCGAGCACAACUUCUCCCACAUGAUCCACAGUGCAUGCUUUAUCAAUAGAAAAGUCCACCGCAAGCCUCUGUAGCCACGAAAAACCUCUUUGAGCCCGUUUUGGCACCCUGCCGGAGGGGGAAUCCAUCACCGGUGGCCAUCUUCAUCAUCCCAGAGCUCUCCAUGACGCGGAGGGAGUAGUUCUCCCUCGGGGCUGAGGGUAUGUACCAGUAGCUAUGUGUUUGAGCUCUCUCUCUCUCUCUCUCUCUCUCUCUCUCUCGUGUUCUUGAUUUCGCACGAUCUUGAUGUACCGCGAGCUUUGCUAUUAUAGUUGGAUCUUAUGAUGUUUCUCCCCCUCUACUCUCUUGUAAUGGAUUGAGUUUUCCCUUUGAAGUUAUCUUAUUGGACUGAGUCUUUAAGGAUUUGAGAACAGUUGAUGUAUGUCUUGCAUGUGCUUAUUUGUGGUGACAAUGGGAUAUCACGUGAUCUACUAGAUGUAUGUUUUGGUGGUCAACUUGCGGGUUCAGUGACCUUUGAACUUAUGCAUAGGGGUUGGCACAUGUUUUCGUCUUGACUCUCCGAUAGAGACUUUGGGGCACUCUUUGAAGUUCUUUGUGUUGGUUGAAUAGAUGAAUCUGAGAUUGUGUGAUGCAUAUCAUAUAAUCAUACCUGCGGAUACUUGAGGUGACAUUGGAGUAUCUAGGUGACAUUAGGGUUUCGGUUGAUUUGUGUCUUAAGGUGUUAUUUUACUACAAAUUCUAGGGCUGUUUGUGACACUUAUAGGAAUAACCCAAUGGAUUGAUCGAAAAGAAUAACUUUGAGGUGGUUUCGUACCCUACAAUAAUCUCUUCAUUUGUUCUCUGCUAUUAGUGACUUUGGAGUGACUCUUUGUUGCAUGUUGAGGGAUAGUUAUAUGAUCCAAUUAUCUUAUUAUUGUUGAGAGAACUUGCACUAGUGAAAGGAUGAACCCUAUGCCUUGUUUCCUACCAUUGCAAUACCGUUUACGCUCACGUUUACCACUUGCUACCUUGCUGUUUUUUAUAUUUUCAGAUUACAAAAACCUAUAUCUACCAUCCAUAUUGCACUUGUAUCACCAUCUCUUCGCCGAACUAGUGCACCUAUACAAUUUACCAUUGUAUUGGGUGUGUUAGGGACAUAAGAGACUCUUUGCAAUUUGGUUGCAAGGUUGUUUGAGAGAGACCAUCUUCAUCGUACGCCUCCCACGGACUGAUAAACCUUAGGUCAUCCACUUGAGGGAAAUUUGCUACUGUCCUACAAACCUCUGCACUUGGAGGCCCAACAAUGUCUAGAAGAAGAAGAUUGUGUAGUAGACAUCAAAUAGCGACAUCAAUUAUUCAUUGUCUCAAUCACCUCUAUGCAAUUACACCCAACUAUAGUUGCCAAAUUGAGACGAAACCAUAAGGCUAGUGCAUCGGCCCUAAGUGCAUCUCCACACCAAUCGAUUUACCCGUUUCAUGCCGCGAUGAAUCUACCAUUCGAGUCUCUGAUGACGGUGCCAUAUGAGCCAUAAGUCUGGGUCAAAAGCCCAAUCUAUGUUUAGCUUCACAUAGUUGCUCUUUGGUCUUUCCCAGCCAUGAUGCUUGAUCGUCGCCUUUGCAUCACUCGCCAUAGUAUAGUUAGCAACCAAAGCUAUGAUUGCCAUUGCUAUGAACAUAGGUUCUUGGACCAUUUCAAUACGCACUAACUCCCCCCCCCCCACCCACCAUAAAUAUCAGGAACCAAUNNNNNNNNNNNNNNNNNNNNNNNNNNNNNNNNNNNNNNNNNNNNNNNNNNNNNNNNNNNNNNNNNNNNNNNNNNNNNNNNNNNNNNNNNNNNNNNNNNNNNNNNNNNNNNNNNNNNNNNNNNNNNNNNNNNNNNNNNNNNNNNNNNNNNNNNNNNNNNNNNNNNNNNNNNCCAAUAGCAAUUGAUUCUAUUGAAUUUUCUAGACCGAGGACCACACAUUCUUUAGCUAGUUGCAACAAUAAAUAUUCGAGCACAACUUCUCCCACAUGAUCCAAAGUGCAUGCUUUAUCAAUAGAAAAGUCCAAACCUAGUAAUCAUCAUACCUCUUUAGCUCUUGCACAAGUGAAUAACAAGUGCUUGGUAUCAUUGAUGACCCACAAGUAUAGGGGAUCUAUCGUAGUCCUUUCGAUAAGUAAGAGUGUCGAACCCAACGAGGAGCAGAAGGAAAUGACAAGCGGUUUUCAGCAAGGUAUUCUCUGUAAGCACUGAAAUUAUAGGUAAGAGAUAGUUGUGUGCCAAGAUAAUUUGUUACGGGUAACAAGAAACAAAAUUACACAAGGUGCAGAAAGGUGGGCCAAUCCUUUUUGUAGCAAAGGACAAGCCUGGACAAACUCUUAUAUAAAGCAAAGUGCUCCUGAGGACACAUGGGAAUUAUUGUCAAGCUAGUUUUCAUCAUGCUCAUAUGAUUCACGUUCGUUACUUUGAUAAUUUGAUAUGUGAGUGAACCGGUGCUUGGGUGAUGCCCUUCCUUGGACAAGCCUCCCACUUAUAAUUAACCCCUCUCGCAAGCAUCCACAACUAUGGAAGAAGAAUUAAGGUAAACCUAACCAUAGCAUGAAACAUAUGGAUCCAAAUCAGCCCCUUAGGAAGCAACACAUAAACUAGGGUUUAAUCUUAUGUCGCUCUAGCAACCCAUCAUCUACUUCUUACUUCCCAAUACCUCCCCUAGUCCAAAAUCAUGGUGAAGUGUCGUGUAGUCGACAUUCACAUAACAACACUAGAGGAGAGACAACAUACAUCUUCAUCAAAAUAUCGAACGAAUACCAAAUUCACAUGACUACUUAUAACAAGACUUCUCCCAUGUCCUCAGGAAAAAACGUAACUACUCACAAAGCAUAUUCAUGUUCAUAAUCAUAGGGGUAUUAAUAUGCAUUAAGGAUCUGAACAUAUGAUCUUCCACCAAAUAAACCAAUUAGCAUCAACUACAAGGAGUAAUCAACACUACUAGAAACCCAUAGGUACCAAUCUGAGGUUUGGGUACAAAGAUUGGAUACAAGAGAUGAACUAGGGUUUCAGAGGAGAUGGUGUUGAUGAAGAUGUUGAUGGAGAUUGACCCCCUCCCGAUGAGAGGAUCGUUGGUGAUGACGAUGGUGAUGAUUUCCCCCUCCCGGAGCAAAGUUUCCCCAGCAGAACAGCUCCGCCGGAGCCCUAGAUUGGUUCCGCCAAGGUUCAUAAUUAGAGGAGUAUUAAUUAUCAUUAAGGAUCUGAACAUAUGAUCUUCCACCGGAUAAACCAACUAGCAUCAACUACAAGGAGUAAUCAACACUACUAGCAACCCACAUGUACCAAUCUAAGGUUUUGAGAGACAGAGGUGUCGAUAAAAUAAAAUACGGGCAUGAGGGCAUCAUGAUCAUCUUUAUAACAACAACAUAUAUUGUCAUAUGAUUUCUUAUGCUAAUUAACAAUUCAUUCACAAGGUAAAGUAUGAAUCGGAAACUUCAUUGAAAACUAACAAACUAUGAUCUCAGUCAUUGAAGCAAUUGCAAUCUAUCAUAACAUUGUAAAGAGUCAAUAUAAGAGCUUUUCAACAAGUCCACACACUCAACUAUCAUUUAGUCUUUCACAAUUGCUAACAUCACGUGAUACUUAUGGGUACAAAGUUUCAAUCGGACACAGAAAAAGAUAGGGGCUUAUAGUUUCGCCUCCCAACCUUUUAGCUCAACGGUAAUGUCAAUAAUAAUACUAUAUGAAAACCUACAUCCGAGUGUAUAUAUAUAUAUAUAUUUAUAUUUAUAUAUAUAUAUAUAUAUAUAUAUAUAUAUAUAUAUAUAUACCGGAUCUCUCCAACACAUAGUGCUUGCCAAAGGAUAAAGUGUAAGAAGGAAAAGUGAAGAUCACCAAGACUCGUGUAUGAGGGUAGAAGGUAAAAAUAAAAGAUACGCCCUUCGUAGAGGGAAUCAGAGGUUGUCAUGCGCUUUUAUGGUUGGAUGCAGAAAAUCUUAAUUCAAAAGAAUGUCACUUUAUAUUGCCGCUUGUGAUAAGGAUCUUUAUUAUGCAGUCCGUCAAUUUUAUUUCUUCCACAUCACAAGUUCGUAUAAAGCGUAUUUUCUUCACACUAACAGAUCAUAAAAAUUUAUAGAGCAAUUUUUAUUGCUUGCACCGAUGACAACUUACUUGAAGGAUCUUACUCAAUCCAUAGGUAGGUAUGACGGACUCUCAUGGCAAAACUGGGUUUAGGGACUCCCACUAUGUUGUCUUCCUUGUCCAACAUUAACCUUUUAGCAUGUCAUAUUUUAAUGAGUGCCCACAAUCACAAAAGAUAUCCAAGAUAGGGUAUUUAUAUGUAAAACCUCUCUUUCUUUAUUACUUCCAAUUAAUUGCAGCAAUGACCAAAACUAUGUUUGUCAACUCUCAACAACUUUUAUUCAUCAUACUCUUUAUAUGUGGAGUCAUUACUCUCCAUAAGAUCAACAUAUGAUCUUUUUAUUUCUUUUUAUUCUUUUCUUAAUUCCCUCAAGAUCAUAGCAAGAUAGAAAAGCCCUCAACUCAAAACUACUCUGUAUUAUAUAUAACUCACGGACUCGAUUACAUAGAUAGAGAUCAAAACAAAACUCAAAGAUAGAUCAUACUAAAACUUUAUUCUACUAGAUCAAGAUAUAACCAAAAGGAUCGAACAAAGAAAAUCGGUAAAGAUAGAGGUGCGAUGGUGAUACGAUACCGGGGAACCUCCCCCAAGCUUGGCAGUUGCCAAGGGGAGUGCCCAUACCCAUGUAUUUAUGUCUCUUUCUUCAAAGGUGGCGAUGAUGGAGUUAUUGAUGAUGCUGUUAGCUUCAUUAAUGCACCCUUCAGAACUUGCAGUUACUGGAGCAAACGUUGGAGCAUAUUUGCAUUCUUUUGGAUUUCCUCCAUAUGGUGCUUAUUUUCAGGCCCCCAAGAGCUCUUACUUGCAUUGCUUUCACUUGGACGGGAUAUGUCCCAAUUAUAGGGUAUAUGUGUACGGGGAGUGUCCUCGACUUCAUAAUUAUGAACCAAAUUAUGAAAGUUGUUCCGAUGUAACCUGUGUAAGGGCCUCCUAUGGGGAAGCCCUUCUCGAACCUCUUGGUCUUCAUGGUUGCUUCUAGUCCCCAUUGCUUGAUGGGGAUUGGGAAUAGUGGAGAUGCCAACCAGAGUGCCUUUCUGCAUAGCCGGAGGGUGGUCCUCAAGCGAAUCUCCUUCAUCCUCCUCCAUCAUGCACUACUAGGGAAAAGUCUAGCAGUACCGCUGGUUUUUGGCCUAUCAGUAGUGCGGGUAAGCGCGCUACUGAUACGGCGCUACAGCUAAAGCAUAGCAGUAGAGCCUACUGGCACUCGCUACUGCUAUAUCUACUUAGUAGUAGCGCUUUCCAAAUCAAUCGCUACUGCUAAUUACUAGUAGCCCUUUAAAAAACAAUCGCUACUACUAUUAUUUCGUAUUCUAUUUCUUUUGAAUUUUAGGUCAUAUUCACCUUCAUACAAUUUUUCAUACAGUAGCAAUUUAGAGAUUGUUUUUACAUUAUAAUGAGUUAUUAAAUCACUAGCUGAAAUAACCUUGGUUUAGUUUCAAGUGCAUGGAUCCAAAGUAACCAAUGGUCACUUUGGAUCCAUCCAUUUGAAACUAAUCCGCGGUUCUUUCACCCAAUGACAUAAUAACUUAUCAUCAUCAUCAUCAUCAUCAUAAUAUCAUUAACAACUUAUCAUCAUAAUAUAUCAUUGUCAUAUAACUCCUCAUAAUCAUCAUUUUCGUCCAUGAGACAUCAUAUAACAACUUCAUCACUAGUUAUAAUAACAACUCCUCCUCCUCAUCAUCAUAAUACUCAUAAUCACUACUCCUACUCAGCAACACCAUCAAGUCUAAGACAUUGUAGUCAUAUAUAAUCAACACUAACUUAUUGUUCUUAAUACUUAGGACCUACUCCUCUCUCCUAGCUAAAAUACCAUAAAACAGAUAAACUGGUCCUUCAUAAUAAUGGAGAAUGGACAUAAACCUAUCUCCAACUUGUGGCUUGCGCACAUUCAUUUUGUCUCCAAUUAUUUGCGUGUGCGCAUUCAUCACUUUGCUCCAUUCUUUGAUUUCGAGUCUUCCAUCAUUUGAAGAAAUCGAGUAUGCAGUAUGGUAAGCCUUUGAAGGAGUUGGUCGUAAGCUAACCAUAUGCAUAUCACCUUCGGUAAAUAGCAUGUCAGGCAGAACCUGCUUCGGGAGCCUCUGUUCAAAAACGUAAUAUAAACAUAUAUAGUUAGCAAUGUAGUUUACUUAAGAAUAAUGUAUGUAAUGAAGUUACCAUCAUUAACAAAAUCUUACCAAGUUUUUGGCAAUGAAGUUACCAUCAAGCAAUUUAUGGACUAGUGGCACAUAUCUAGUAUAAUUUGGGUUGAUAGAGUGACUGGUUUUGAAGGCCUCAACAUCUUCUAUGAAUGAGACAAGAUAACCUUUCUCGUCACAAUUAAGCUUAGAGUCAUAGCUGUAAUAUGUGUUGUCUACUACCUUCCGAGUAUUUUUUGAAAAUAAGAAAUAAAUUGACAAUUAUAAAUAAAUAAGUUUAGUAAGGACGAACACCAAAUAUUUUUAAAUUAUCAACAUAAAUUACUGAACUUAACAAAUUAGUUUGACAAACUCACAUCUAGGCAAAACUGGAGGCAUAUCCACGUCCACCCAGAUGUCGAUAUUAUCAUCAUCAUCAUCAUCUUCGGGACAAAUAUCAAAUCUUAUUCGCAUUCCCUCCUCAAGUCCAUAUGCCUUGUAGAGAGCUUCCCAAUUAGAGCAACCGAAAUGGGAGCAAUAGACCGCAUUGUACAACUUAACCAGAAACUCAUAACCAUGUUUAGUUCUUAAGUGAGCCCUCCUCAUCUCCACAUUCUCAAAGUCAUCUAAACCAAAACCAAGCUUCUCCAAUACAUAUGGUCUAGCAUGGCUCUGGAUGUACUAAUCGAAUUAAAAAAAAUAUCCAAAAUUACACGUUGAACAAAACAAGCACAAGUGAUGAUAUUAAUUACGAUGAAAUGCUUGCCGUUGUGUACCGUACAAACAUCAAGGGUCUCUUCCAGCUUCACGGUGAAAAACCUAUCAUUUUGCAGGUGAGGAAACCUGUCACACACACCAUGGUCAUCGUAGCAGUACCCACACUCUGGGAUCCCAUCGUCAUUAGACAUCUCCUGUGUUCAAAAUUCAAAGAUUAUAACUCGACGGCCAAACCCAAAAAAUCCGGCAUGACCUUUGCUAAAAAAGGACAUAUCGAGCGCCUAAAAUUGGCUGGAACGGAAAUUAAUCAACACUCCGGCAAAACAUAGGCCGCUUACUAAUGGUCAUUGCAUUUCAAUGGUUGACAAUAUGAACAAAAACAUUUGAAAAUAUCUUAUAUAUAAUCCUAACACUAAAUAAACUAGUUUUAUUAACUACUUACUAAAUAAACUAGUUCUAUUAAGCACUUACUAUAAAUAAACUAGUUCUAUUAAGCACUUACUAAAUAAACUAGUUCUAUUAAGCACUUAAUAUAAAUAAACUAGUUAUAUUAAUCACUUACUAAAUAAACUAUUUCUAUUAAACACUUGCUAAAAAUUCUACUACCCUAGUUCUACCCUAAAUUUUCUUACUUCUAUUUUAUUCAAAACACCUAAAAUAGUCAAAAAAUAUUCUUUUAAAAAACCUACAGAGACAAGGGAGNNNNNNNNNNNNNNNNNNNNNNNNNNNNNNNNNNNNNNNNNNNNNNNNNNNNNNNNNNNNNNNNNNNNNNNNNNNNNNNNNNNNNNNNNNNNNNNNNNNNNNNNNNNNNNNNNNNNNNNNNNNNNNNNNNNNNNNNNNNNNNNNNNNNNNNNNNNNNNNNNNNNNNNNNNNNNNNNNNNNNNNNNNNNNNNNNNNNNNNNNNNNNNNNNNNNNNNNNNNNNNNNNNNNNNNNNNNNNNNNNNNNNNNNNNNNNNNNNNNNNNNNNNNNNNNNNNNNNNNNNNNNNNNNNNNNNNNNNNNNNNNNNNNNNNNNNNNNNNNNNNNNNNNNNNNNNNNNNNNNNNNNNNNNNNNNNNNNNNNNNNNNNNNNNNNNNNNNNNNNNNNNNNNNNNNNNNNNNNNNNNNNNNNNNNNNNNNNNNNNNNNNNNNNNNNNNNNNNNNNNNNNNNNNNNNNNNNNNNGGAGGAGGGAGGGGCGAUGGAAGGAGGGCUUCCUGCGGAGGAGGGAGGAGGGGGCGGCCGGAGGCAGAGGGAGGAGGGCACGGUGGGAGGAGGAGGAGGGAGGAGGGAGGAGGGCGCGGUGGGAGGAGGAGGGACAGAAGGAGGGAGUACCUCGGUGGCGGACGGACGACAGCAGCGGCGGCGACGGACUACGGGUAUCGGUGCGGGCGAGAGUGACUGAGAGGGAGAGUGAGUGAGUGAGAGAGGGUCGGUAGCGUGAGGGGAUAAGGUAGGGUUAGUAGUAGCACUCAUCAAAUAAAAGCGCUACAGCUAAGGAGAAUAGCAGUAGCGCUGGUCGUGGAUACGCGCUAUUGCUAAGUUGGGCUAGCCGUGUGCGCCCAAUUCAGACAUAGCAGCAGCACUUUUUGCCAGUAUGCGCUAAUACUAGAGUUAUAGCAGUAGCGCGGUUUGUUCAUACGCGCUGCUACUAAGUAGCAGUAGCGCAUGAUUUUGUCCAGCGCUACUGCUAAGAUGUUGUGUUUAACGUUUUCCCUAGUAGUGGUGACUCCCUCGGCAUCCCUCCUUCUAAGUUCCAUCUGCAUCAACUAAGCAUCGCUGUCCGUGUUGUUGGAGGAGGAGGACGAUAUGAUGUAUAGCCUUGAAAAUUCUGGCAGAAAACAACUCAAAACAAGAACAUGAGAUUUUGCCGUGGUACGGUGGUCAAAAUCUUCGGGAGAUUAUAUAAUGAAUUUUUACCGACCAAAAUAAGUAUUGUGCAAUAAAACGGAGUCCGGAGGGCACACGAAGUGGCCACAAGGUAGGAGGGGGUGCGCCCAGGGGGGUAGGGGCGCCCUCCACCCUUGUGGUGGCCUCGUAUCUCUUUCGGACUACUUUUAAUUUUCCUAAAUUUUUAAAUAUUCGAAAACGGUGAAAAAUUGCUAUUAGAAAAGUUUUGGAGUCGGUUUACUUACUGUACCACAUACCUAUUCCUUUUCGGAGUCCGACACGUUCUGGAAAGUGUCCCUUAUGUACUCCUCCGGUGUUACAGUGUCAAUUAUAUUGGUCUCAACAUUUAUGGGAUUACCUGAGAUAUAACGUUUGAUUCUUUGACCAUUUACCACCUUCGGAUUUGUGCCUUCGGAAUUGUUGAUUUUGAUGGCACCAGAACUAUAGACCUCCUCGAUAAUGUAAAGACCUUCCCAUUUAGAGAGAACUUUUCCUGCAAAAAAUCUUAAACGAGAGUUGUAUAGAAAAACAUGACCACCUACAUUAAACUCACGCAUUUGUAUCCUUUUUUCAUGCCAUCUUUUAAAUUUUUCGUUAAAGAACAUGGCAUUCUCAUAGGCUUGGGUUCUCCAUUCAUCAAGCGAGCUAAUGUCAAAUAACGUCUUCUCACCGGCAAGUUUGAAAUCAUGGUUGAGCUCUUUAAUAGCCCAAUAUGUCUUAUGUGUUCAAGAGGUAAGUGACAAGUGUUUCUAUAAACCAUUUUAUUCGGAGACAAACCCAUAGGAUUUUUAUAAGCAGUUCUAGCCCAUAAUGCAUCAAGUUUCUUGGACCAAUUCUUUCUAGAUCUAUUAACAUUCUUUUGCAAAAUCAAUUUAAUCUCUCUGUUACUCAAUUCUACUUGACCACUAGACUGAGAAUGAUAUGGAGAUGCAAUUCUAUGGUUAACAUUGUACUUAGCAAGCGUUUUACAAAAAAGCACCAUGAAUAAAAUGUGAACCACCAUCUGUCAUUAAAUAUCUAGGGACUCCAAACCUCAGAAAAGAGUAACUUCUUUAAGCAUCUUAAUAGAAGUGUUAUGAUCAGCACUACUAGUUGGACUAGCUUCUACUCACCUAGUAACAUAAUCAAUAGCAAAUAAAAUAUGUGUAUACCCAUUGGAGGAAGGAAAAGGUCCCAUAUAAUCAAAGCCCCAAACAUCAAAUGGUUCAAUAAUGAGUGCAUAAUUCAUAGGAAUUUCUUGACGUCUACUAAUAUUGCCAAUUCUCUGGCAUUCAUCACAAGACAAGACAAACUUACGAGCGUCCUUGAAGUGAGUAGGCCAAUAAAAACCGGAUUGCAAUACCAUAUGUGCAGUUCUAUCUCCAGCGUGGUGUCCGCCGUAAGCAUCGGAGUGACACUUGUGUAUGAUCUGUUCCUGUUCAUACUCAGGUACACAAAGUCUAAUAACACCAUCUACUCCUUCUUUAUAAAGGUGUGGGUCAUCCCAAAAGUAAUGUCUUAAAUCAUAGAAAAACUUUUUCUUUUGUUGGUAUGAGAAACUAGGUGGUAUAAAUUUAGCAACAAUGUAAUUAGCAUAUAUAAUCGGCAUACGAUGGAGCAGCACGAGAAGCAUUUAUGACAGCUAAUUGUUCAUCAGGAAAGUUAUCAUCAAUAGGCAGUGGGCCAUCAAGAAUAUUUUCUAACCUAGACAAGUGUCUGCAACGAGGUUCUCAGCUCCCUUUCUAUCAAUAAUAUGCAAAUCAAAUUCUUUUAACAAGAGAACCCACCUAAUAAGUCUAGGUUUAGCAUCUUUCUUUUCCAUAAGAUAGUUAAUAGGAGCAUGAUCAGUGUGAACAAUUACUUUGGAAUCAACAAUAUAAGAUCUGAACUUAUCACAAGCAAUUACAAGUGCUAAAAAUUGUUUUUCAGUAGUAGCAUAGUUUCUCUGGGCACUAUCUAGAGUUUUACUAACAUAAUGGAUAACAUUUAAUUUCUUAUCAACUCUUUGUCCUAGAACAACACCAACAGCAUAAUCACUAGCGUCACACAUAAUUUCAAAGGGUAAAUUCCAAUCAGGUGACUGAACAAUAGGUGUAGAAAUCAAGGCCUUCUUAAGUAUCAAAUGCUUUUACACAAUCAUCAUCAAAAACAAAAGGAACAUCUUUUUGCAAGAGAUUAAUGAGAGGCCUAGAAAUUUUACAGAAGUCUUUAAUAAACCUCCUAUAGAAACCAACAUGACCAAGGAAAUUUCCUAUACCUUUGAUAUCUUUAGGACACAACAUAUUUCCAAUAGCAUCUACUUUAGCUUUAUCAACUUCAAUACCUCUUUCAGAAAUUUUAUGCCCCAAGACAAUACCUUCAUUAACCAUAAAGUGGAACUUCUCCCAAUUCAAGACAAGAUUAGUUUCUUCACAUCCCUGCAAAACUCGAUCAAGGUUGCUUAAGAAAUCAUCAAAAGAAGUUCCGUAAACAGAGAACUCAUCCAUGAAAACCUCAGUAGUAUUUUCACAAAAGUCAGAGCAUAUAAGAGUCAUACAUCUUUCAAAGACAACAGGUGCAUUGCAUAAACCAAAAGGCAUACAUCUAUAAGCAAAAGUGCCAAAAAGGCAAGUAAAAGUGGUCUUUUCCUGAUCAUUUUUGACACAGAUAAUUGAGAAAAACCAGAAUAACCAUCUAGGAAGCAAAAAUGUGUAUGUUUGGAUAGUCUUUCUAGCGUUUGAUCAAUAAAAGGUAGAGGGUAAUGAUCUUUUCUAGUAGCUUUAUUCAAUUUGCGGAAAUCAAUUACCCUUCUAUAACCUGUAAUAAUUCUUUGUGGGAUCCAUUCAUUCUUAUCAUUAGGAACAACAGUAAUACCUCCCUUCUUAGGGACAUAAUGAACGGGACUUACCCACUGACUAUCAGCAAUAGGAUAAAUAUACCUGCCUCUAGAAGAUUUAGUAUUUCAUUUCUUACCACUUCUUUCAUUUUAGGAAUUAAUCGUCAUUGGUGAUCAACCACUGGUUUAGCAUCUUUUUCCAAUUUUAUUUUGUGCUGACAUAGAGUGGGACUAAUGCCCUUAAGAUCAUCAAGAGUAUAUCCAAUAGCGGCAUGGUGCUUCUUCAGAGUUUUCAAUAAUUUCUUUUCUUCAUGCUCUAAAAGGUUAGCACUAAUAAUAACAGGAUAUAUCUUAUUUCCAUUGAGAUAAGAAUAUUUAAGAGUAUCAGGUAAUUGUUUAAGCUCAAACACAGGAUCACCCUUGGGUGGAGGAGGAUCUCCGAGAAUUUCAACAAGCAAACUGUGUUACAAAAUAGGCCCUUGAUUAAAGAAUACUUCAUUUAUUUUCCUUCUUUCAUUCAUAAACAUAUUAUUUUCAUGGUCUAGCAAAUAUUGUUCUAAAGGAUCAUUAGGAGGCACGAAAAUAGAAGCAAGACCAGUAAGUUCAUCCUUACUAGGAAAUUCUUUAUCAUGAGGUUGUCUACGAAAUUUAGAAAAAUUAAAAUGAUGAGACAUAUCCCCUAAAUCAAUAGUAACAAUAUCCUUUUCAUAGUCUAUCUUAGCAUUAACAGUAUUCAAGAAUGGGUCUACCAAAUAUAAUGGGACAAAACUCAUCUUGCAGGGAAGCAAGAACAAGAAAAUCAGUAGGGUAUUUUAUUUUCGCACACAAUACUUCAAAAUCUCUAACAAUACCAACUGGUAAAUAGUGUCUCUAUUGGCAAGCUUAAUAGUAACAUCAAUAUCUUCUAUCUCAGCAGGUGCAAAUAUCAUUCAUAAUUUCUUCAUAUAAGGUAUAAGGUAUUGCACUCACACUAGCACCCACAUCACACAAGCCAUGAUAACAAUGAUCUCCUACUUUAACAGAAACUAUAGGCAUGCCAACAACAGGUCUAUGUUUAUCUUGAGUGUCAUGUUCAGCAAUCCUAGCAGCUUCAUCACCGAAAUAAAUAACAUGCCCAUCAAUAUUAUCGACCAAGAGAUCCUUAAUCAUAGCAAUAUUGUGUUCAACUUUAAUUUGUUCAGGGGUUGUAAUUGUUCUAGUAUAACUCUUACGAACCACAGUUUAAGAUUUAGCAUGAUCCUUUAUUCUAACAAGGAAAUGUGGUUUCUCAAUAUAAGCAGUAGGAACAAUUGGAUCAAAAUUAUAAGUAAUAGUUUCUUCUUCAACCUUAAUAGGUUCUACUACUUUAACUUCAAUGGGAGGAUGAUAUUUAAACCACUUCUCACUAGGUAGAUUAACAUGAGUAGCAAAUGAUUCACAAAAAGAAGCUACUAUCUUAGAUUUGAAUUAUGUAGUCUUCAUCAUAAAAGAUCCAGUACAAGAAGUAUCGAGAAUGGAUCGAUCAUUAUGAGAAAGCCGAACAUAAAAAAUUUGGAUAAUAAUUUCUCUUGAGAGCUCAUGAUUGGGGCAUGAAUAUAACAUUGAGUUAAGCCUCCCCCAAGCUUCAGCAAUACUUUCUCCUUCACGGGGCCGAAAAUUAUAUAUAUAAUUCCGAUCACGAUGAACCAGAUGCAUAGGAUAAAACUUCUGAUGAAAUUCCAAUUUCAAUCGGUUGUAGUUCCAUGAUCCAAUAUAAUCACAUAGCCUAUACUAUGUCAAUGCCUUUCCCUUCAAAGAUAAAGGGAAGACCUUCUUCUUGACAACAUCUUCGGGAAUACCUGCAAGCUUAAAUAAUCCACAAACUUCAUCCACAUAGAUUAGGUGCAUAUCAGGAUGUAAUGUUCCAUCUCCUCUGUAAGGAUUAGCUUGCAGUUUCUCUAUCAUACCCAAAGGAAUUUAAACAUAAAUAUUUUCAGUAGGUGCAGUAGGUUGAGGAGCAACUCUUUUCUCUUCCGGUUGAGGUGAAGAUACCCAGAACAAGCCCCUCAAAGGAUUAUUUUCCAUAGUAACAAGUGACAGUAAAUUUCAGCACAAUAUAUAAAUAUUUCCUUACAAAAUUCCACUUACCAAAGGCGCUUCACUCCCCGGCAACGGUGUCGUAAAAGAGUCUUGAUGACCCACAAGUAUAGGGGAUCUAUCGUAGUCCUUUCGCUAAGUAAGAGUGUCCAACCCAACAAGGAGCAGAAGGAAAUGACAAGCGGUUUUUAGCAAGAUAUUCUCUGCAAGCACUGAAAUUAUCGGUAAUAGAUAGUUGUGUGAUAAGAUAAUUCGUAAUGGGUAACAAGCAACAAAAGUAAACAAGGUGCAUCAAGGUGGGCCAAUCCUUUUUUUAGCAAAGGACAAGCCUGGACAAACUCUUAUAUAAAGCAAAGAGCUCCCGAGGACACAUGAGAAUUAUCGUCAAGCUAGUUUUCAUCAUGCUCAUAUGAUUCACAUUAGUUACUUUGAUAAUUUCAUAUGUGGGUGGACCGGUGAUUGGGUGAUGCCCUUCCUUGGACAAGCCUCCCACUUAUUAUUAACCCCUCUCGCAAGCAUCCGCAACUACAAAAGAAGAAUUAAGGUAAAACUAACCAUAGCAUGAAACAUAUGGAUCCAAAUCAGCCCCUUACGAAGCAACGCAUAAACUAGGGUUUAAGCUUCUGUCACUCUAGCAACCCAUCAUGGUGAAGUGUCAUGUAGUCGACAUUCACAUAACACCACUAUAGGAGAGACAACAUACAUCUCAUCAAACUAUCAAACGAAUACCAAAUUCACAUGGUAACUUAUAACAAGACUUUUCCCAUGUCCUCAGGAACAAAUGUAACUACUCACAAAGCAUAUUCAUGUUAAUAAUUAGAGGAGUAUUAAUUAUCAUUAAGGAUAUGUACAUAUGAUCUUCCAUCGGAUAAACCAAAUAGCAUCAACUACAAGGAGUAAUCAGCACUACUAGCAACCCAUAGGUACCAAUCUGAGGUUUUGAGACAAAGAUCAGAUACAAGAGAUGAACGAGGGUUUGAGAGGAGACGGUGCUGGUGAAGAUGUUGAUGGAUAUUGACCCCCUCUCAAUGAUAUGAUCGAUGGUGAUGAUGAUGGCGAUGAUUUCCCCCUCCCACAGGGAUGCUUCCCCGGUAGAACAACUCCGCUGGAGCCCUAGAUUGGUUUUGCCCAGGUUCCGCCUUGAGACGAUGGCGCUUCAUCCCGAAAGCUUCUCUCCUAUUUUUUUCAGGGCAAAAGACACCAUAUAUCAGAAGAUGGGCGUCGGGGGCCUGCCAGGGAGCCCACAAGGUAGGGGUGCGCACCCAGGGAGGUAGGGUGCGCCCUCCCCCCUUGUGGUUGGCUGGUGGCCCCCCUCUAGUGCUUUCUUCGCCCAAUAUAUUUUAUUUAUUCCAAAACUGAUCUCCGUGAAUUUUCAGGACUUUACUAGUCCGGAAUUCCAGCUAUCGAAAUUCUCCCUCUUCAUGUGAACCUUAUAAAAUAAGAUAGAAAAGACAUAAGUAUUGUGAUAUAACCUGUAAUAACAACCCCUAAUGCAAUAAAUAUUGAUAUAAAAGCAUGAUGGAAAAUGGACAUAUCAAUCAUCUUCUCCAAUAUCGCAUGUAGGACAUUGCCCACUGACUUUUAUAUGCCUGCUAGCCAAUGUCACCCGACAAGGUAGCGAGUCUAACAAAGUUCGUUAGAGGAAACUUUUAACCUUGGCCGGACAACUUAAGCUCUAGAUGGUCCCCCAUAUUGGUGAAAUCCGUGAAAGUCCGACUGUAUUUUCUCAUGAUAUCACAAAUAUUAGUUAUGAACUUAUGAUGCAGGCUCAAGUAUAAUAAAAAACACUCAUUGUGAACAAUGGAAAAACCAAAAAGGUAAUAUAAAAAAUAUCUUACAAUGAAAUGUACCCAAGGGUUAGAUGACAACUCACUCUUUUGAGACGUUGUGUUUGGAGAUCAAUAAUACACUAUACCAACACAAAUGCAUGUUUGGUGAUUGUUUAAUGCACAUGAAAGGUACAAAGUUUGUAGAACUAUAUAUAUAACCAAUGCGUCCAUUUAUAGUAUUAGCCAACAGAAAAAGUCAUGCAUUUCCAUUUAUAUUCUUUAGUGAUAGGUACAUGACAAUCACAAUCUCAUGUGUAAACAAUAGGGCCAUACAAUGCAUCCUUGGUUGACUACGAUGGUAACGGAUAAUAGAUACUACAAUUACUACGAAAGUUUUGUAUAUCCCAUAACGGAAGAUACGGCACCUCAUAACAACCGAUCCAUGUCAUUUGUGGGCCAGAUAAUGUCACUGGUUGAUAUCGACGCCACUAUGGCAAUUAUUGCCGUCUCAACAUGCAAGUACCUUCUUCCAUGGUAUGAUUUCAUUGUUAGAAUAUGUAACCUCGAUGGGGCAUACAUUUUUGUAGUUGAACACCCCAUGCACUCUCCAAGUCAUGGUUAACAACCAACUAAAGGAGUUAUGUGGCAAACAUACCCGACUAGGGUGGAAGUGUGUAUGGAAAGCGCUCGUUCACAAAACCCAAUACGGCCCCUAUCGACUGGUAUCCGAUAACAGCCUCGCUUUGUCUCCUUCCGCUCUCCUCGCAUCCAAUAACGGCCCCUAUCAACUGGUAUCUAAUACAUUUGGGGACACACUCCACGCAGCUAGCGAACACCCUCACUGUUGGCGCUCUAUACGGAUGUCCCUACACGGGACCAUCUACUUUGGUUCCUUGAAGGGCCAAAGGUCCUCAGACUAUAGUGGUGGCUAAUGAUAAGGGCACUGACAAAGAUGAGCCACCGGCUCACUAUGAGCAUGGGGAGGCGGAUGUUAAUAUGUAUUUUUCACAAUGAAUAUGAUGAUGCAUGAUUUUUGCAGUUAACCAUAAUGUUGCCAAGAGUCUGUUUAAUAUGACACCAGCGGACGACACUCAGAAUGAUCAAUGUCCUUCCAAAGCGCAUGUCAUGACUCUGCUCACAUUGAAUGGGUCAAUUCAAGACACUCUCGCAACCCCCAGUUAUUGUUGUACCUAGAAAUGGGAGGAAGAAGAGACGAAAAAAGUCUGAUUACACAAGGCACGGGCGCUGCUGGUAGGUAGAAACUGGUUCGAAAGACGAUUAUUGAUUUCGGUUUACUGUACCUUUUGUGUAGUUUCUGAUUAAGUUUCAAAGAUGCAUGGUGAAAAUGACCUUCUAGGUUUACUUCAUUAACCUUAGUAGUCAUUCGGCGUAUUGAAACAUGGUAAUUCUAGAAUGACAACAACAUGUGUGCUUCAGCUCAUAAAUGCUACCAUUGUAGCAAAAGAUUAACUAAAAAUGCAACCACGACCGGUUAUAGUAGCCCCAAGGCUGGAAAAUUCUACCUUGACAACUAAAUGAGAAAUUUGACUCAUAAAUGCUGCCAUGGUAGAGAAAUGAGCCCAUUUAACCAUAAUUGACCCCAUGGUAGCAAAUAUGAGGCCAAAGGCUCAAAAGUUCUUCCGUGACAACUAAAAGAGCCAUUUAGUCUAGACUCGUUGCGAUGGCAACUAAUUAAUGAGCCAUUUCGCGAGCUAACUAAGCCAUCUGGCUCAGAUUAGCUGCCAUGGCAGCAAAAAAUGAAUGUAAAACUACUAUCACAACAUAUAUGAGCCCUGAUAACCCGCAAGUAUAUGGGAUAGUUGUAGCCUCUUUCGAUAAGUAAGAGUGUCGAACCCAACGAGGAGCUAAAGGUAGAACAAAUACUCUCUCAAGUCCUAUCGGCCACUGACUCGACUCUACGCACGCUUGACAUUCGCUUUACCUAGAACAAGUAUGAAACUAGAAGUACUUUGUAGGUGUGAUGAGAUAUGUUUGCAAGAUAAUAAAGAACAUGUAAACAAAAAUUAGGGGCUGUUUAGAUAAAGAAGCAAUAAAGUAAAUAUUAGUAGAGAGCUUUUUGUUACGAGAAAGUUAUUUGUCGAAGGCAAUAGAUAACUAGACCGGAAAUCAUUAUUGCAAUUCUAUUUGAGGGAGAGGCAUAAGCUAACAUAUCAUCCCUUACUUGGAAUUCUAUGCACUUAUGAUUGGAACUCUAGCAAGCAUCUACUAAAGAUUCAUUAAGGUAAAAUCCAACCAUAGCAUUAAAGCAUCAAGUCCCCUUUUAUCCCAUACGCAAACAACCUACUUACUCGGGUUUGUGUUUCCGUCACUCACGCAACCCACCAUAAGCAAAUCAUAAACAUAUUGCAAACCCUACAGCGGGAAUCCCUCACGCUUGCGCGACACAGAGGGCACAAUAGGACAGCACCAAUAAUAAAACAUGCAACUCAAACCAAUCACGAUCAUCAAUUAACCCACAGGACAAAACGGAUCUACUCAAACAUCAUAAGAUAGCCAUACAUCAUUGGGGAAUAAUAUAUAGCAUUGAGCACCAUGUUUAAGUAGAUAUUACAGCGGGUAAGAGAGAGGUUACACCGCUGCAUAGAGGGAGGAAGAGUUGGUGGAGAUGUUGGUGAAGAUGGCGGCGGUGUUGGUGAAGAGCGCGGUGAUGAUCAUGGCCCCCGGCAGCGCUCCGGCGCCACCGGAAGCAAGGGGGAGAGAUCCCCCCUUCUUCUUCUUCUUCCUUGACCUUCUCCCUAGAUGGCAGAAGGGUUUCCCCUCUGGUCCUUGGCUGCCAUGGCUUGGGAGGGGCGAGAGCCCCUCCGAGAUUGGAUCUAUCUCUCUGUUUCUGCAUUCUCUAUUUCUUCCCCUUCACUGUUUUCUUUAUAUCUGGAGAUCCGUAACUCCGAUUGGGUUGAAUCAUUCGCCCAGAUAUUUCUCAUAAAAUUAGCUUUCUUGCGCCAAAAGAAGAGCAUCAACCGCCUUACGGAUGGCCCACGAGAGCCCAGGGUGCGCCUAGGGGUAGGGGGCGCGCCCCCUGUCUCGUGGCCACCUCGGACAUUGUUUCGCGUUGAUUCUUCCUCCGGAAAAUCCCAAAUAUUCCAAAAUAAUUGCCUGUCCAUUUUUACCCCGUUUGGAUUCCGUUUGAUAUUGGUUUUCUGUGAAACAUAAAACAUGCAACAAACAGGAACUGGCAUUGGGCACUGGAUCAAUAUGUUAGUCCCAAAAAAUAGUAUAAAAAGUUGCCAAAAGUAUAUAAAAUUUGAAUAAUAUUGGCAUGGAACAAUCAAAAAUUAUAGAUACGACAGAGACGUAUCAGCAUCCCCAAGCUUAAUUCCUGCUCGUCCUCGAGUAGGUAAAUGAUAAAAAAAAGAAUAAUUUUUUAUGUGGAAUGCUACCUAGCAUAAUCUUAAUCAUAUGUCUAAUCAUGGCAUGAAUAUUAAUACAUGAGUUAUUCAAAGCAAUAGUCUAUCAUUUGACAUAAAAAACAAUAAUACUUCGAGCGUACCAAUAAAGCAAUCGUGUCUUUUCAAAACAAGAUGGCCAAAGAAAGUUAUCCCUACAAAAUCAUAUAGUCUGGCUGCUGUUCUAUCUUCAUCACACAAAGUAUUUAAUCAUGCACAACCCCGAUGACAAGCCAAGCAUUUGUUUCAUACUUUAAUAAUCUCAAACUUUUUCAACUUUCACGCAAUACAUGAGCGUGAGCCAUGGACAUAGCACUAUAGGUGGAAUAGAAUAUGAUGGUGGGGGUUACGUGGAGAAGACAAAAAGGGAGAAGGUCUCACAUCGACUAGGCGUAUCAACGGGCUAUGGAGAUGCCCAUCAAUAGAUAUCAAUGUGAGUGAGUAGGGAUUGCCAUGCAACGGAUGCACUAGAGCUAUAACUGUAUGAAAGCUCAAACUGAAACUAAGUGGGCGUGCAUCCAACUUGCUUGCUCGUGAAGACCUCGGGCAUUUGAGGAAGCCCAUCAUUGGAAUAUACAAGCCAAGUUCUGUAAUGAACAUUCCCACUAGUAUAUGAAAGUGAAAGCAUAGAAGACUCUCUCUAUGAAGAACAUGGUGCUACUCUGAAGCACAAGUGUGGUAAAAGGAUAGUAACAUUGUCCCUUCUCUCUUUUUCUCUCAUUUUUUUUCUUUUUUUUUUCUUUUUUCUUUUUUUUUCUUUAUUAUUUUUUUUCUUUUUGGUGGGCUUCUUUGGCCUCUUUUUUUAUUUGGGCUUCUUUGGCCUCUUUUAUUUUCCAUAAAGUCCGGAGGCUCAUCCGAUGGGGGAAUCAUAGUCUCCAUCACCCUUCCUCACUGGGGCAUGCUCUAAUGAUGAUGAUCAUCACACUUUUAUUUACUUACAACUCAAUAACUAGAACAAAGAUAUGACUCUAUAUGAAUGCUUCCGGCGGUGUACCGGGAUGUGCAAUGAUCUAGCAUAGCAAUGACAUCAAAAAAACGGACAUGCCAUGAAAACAUCAUGCUAGCUAUCUUACGAUCAUGCAAAGCAAUAUGACAAUGAAUGCUCAAGUCAUGUAUAUGAUGAUAAUGGAAGUUGCAUGGCAAUAUAUCUCAGAAUGGCUAUGGAAAAGCCAUGGUAGAUAGGUAUGGUGGCUGUUUUGAGGAAGAUAUAAGGAGGCUUAUGUGUGAUAGAGCAUAUCAUAUCACGGGGUUUGGAUGCACCGGCGAAGUUUGCACCAACUCUCGAGGUGAGAAAGGGCAAUGCACGGUACCGUAGAGGCUAGCAAUGAUGGAAGGGUGAGAGUGCGUAUAAUCCAUGGACUCAACAUUAGUCAUAAAGAACUCAUAUACUUAUUGCAAAAAUCUACAAGCCAUUGAAAACAAAGUACUACGCGCAUGCUCCUAGGGGGAUAGAUUGGUAGGAAAAUACCAUCGCUCGUCCCCGACCGCCACUCAUAAGGAAGACAAUCAAUAAAUAAAAUUGUGCUCCAACUUCAUCACAAAGGGGUUCAGCAUACGUGCAUGCUACGGGAAUCACAAACCUCAACACAAAUGUCUCUACAGUAAACAGUCACCCACUAGCAUAACUCUAAUAUCACCACCUUUAUAUCACAAAACUAUUGCAAGGAAUCAAACAUAUCAUAUUCAGCGAUCUACAAGUUUAUGUAGGAUUUUAUGACUAACCAUGUGAAUGACCAAUUCCCGUCAUCUCUCUAAACAGAUAUAAGUGAAGCAAGAGAUUUUAAUUCUUUCUACAAAAGACAUGCCCACGCUCUAACAAAUAUAAGUGAAGCAAAAGAGAAUUCUACAAGUGGCGGUUGUCUAUAUGAAGAGAAACAGGCAAUCCAAACUUCAAACGAUAUAAGUGAAGCACAUGAAGCAUUCUAUAAAGCCAUACUCAAAAUAUUUAAAUGAAGUGCAAUGAGCAUUCUAUAAAUCAACCAAGGACUAUCUCAUACCAGCAUGGCGCAUAAAAAAAGUGAAAACUAAAUGCAAAAGACGCUCCAAGACUUGCACAUAAUGCAUGAACGAAACAAAUUCGAAAACAUACCGAUACUUGUUGAAGAAAGAGGGGAUGCCUUCCGGGGCAUCCCCAAGCUUAGACGCUUGAGUCUCCUUGAAUAUUUACUUGGGGUGCCUGGGGCAUCCCCAAGCUUGAGCUCUUGCAUCUCUUCCUUUUCCUCGUAUCAGGACAUCCUCGAUUAGACACUACAUCCACACAAAACUUCAACAGAAAACUCGAUAAGAUCCGUUAGUAUAAUAAAGCAAAUCACCACUCUAAGUACAGUUGCAAACCAAUUCAUAUCUUGUUUUUGCAUUGUGUCUACUGUAACGUAACUUUUUCAUGGCUUAAUCCACUAAUAUAAAUUGAUAGAUUCAUCAAAACGAGCAAACUAUGCAUCAAAAACAGAAUCUGUCAAAAACAGAACAGUCUGUAGCAAUCUGAACAUACACCAUACUUCUGAUACCCCAAAAAUUCUACCAAAAUGAGGAAAAAUAAACAAGUUGUACAGAAAGACAGUUCAAAAAGAAUUAGAAUCAAUUGACGUUCCAGUUAAAAACUUAAAAUCGUGCACUACAGCCAAAGUUUCUGUCCUGCACCGUACAAACCAACAAGCAUUGUAAACAUCCUAAAGGCAAACAUUGGCACAUUAUUUUUAUAAUACAAUGGAAUUUUACAAGGGGAUAAUUAUUUUUGAUGAAAAGUUUCUGUAAUCAAGAUUCACAAAGUUUCCGUGAGCAUGAACAAAGUUCAAGGACCUCUCCCACUUCAACAAUGCUUAUCUCUCUCACUUUCACUUUCCUUUUUGAAAAGUUUUUAGGUUCCCCUCUUUAUUUUUUUGUUUUUAAACUAUAUAAAAGCACUCAACAGAAAUAAAUGACUCUCUAAAACUUCCGGGUUGUCUCCCUGGCAGCGCUUUCUUUAAAGCCAUUAAGCUAGGCAUUUAGUGCUCAAGUAAUGGAUCCACCCGGAUCCCAAGGUAUAUAAAAGCCAAUUUUAAUUAACAAUGAUUUAUAAUUUAAUAGUGAGCACAAAGUAACAUAUAUCAAGCAACAACGAAGUCUAACUCUCUUCCUAUGCAUCGGCAUGUCAUAAAAGAAUAAUUCAUGCACACAAAGUAAAGGCCAAUGCGUAGUAUAAGCAGUUUCUUGCAAUUUCAUAGUAUGGGAAACAUAGAGAGGUGGAAAAAUAGUUCCUCUCUCAUAAUAACUGCAAGUAGGAGCAGCAAGCACAUGCAUAUUAUGUUCAUCAAAAUCAUCAUAUGCAAUGGUAAAAGUCAACCCAUAAUUAUAAUCCUUGCUAAGCGCAAACUUCUCCGAUAUAGUGUAGUUUGGAGAAUUCAAAAAGAUAAUAGGACUAUCAUGCGUGGGUGCAAUAGCAAAAAUUGCAUGUUUAACAUAAGGAACUAUAGCAAGUUCAUCUCCAUAAGCAUAAUUCAUAUUGGCAUCUUGGCCACAAGCAUAGCAAGCAUCAUCAAAAAGGGAUAUUUCAAACAAAUUCAAGGGAUCAUAGCAAUCAUCCUUCGGUAAGCACGAAGGGGAAUUAAAUAAUGUAUGAGUUGGAGGGUUACUCUCAUUAGAAGGUGGGCACGGGUAGCUAAUCCGCUCUUCCUCCUUUUGUUCUUCGCUCUCCUCAUCAUCUUUUUCAUCCAAUGAGCUCACAGUUUCAUCAAUUUCUUCUUCCAUAGCUACCUGCAAAAUAUUAGUCUCUUCUUGGACAGCGGAGAAUUUCUUCAUAAAUGCAUUAAUAUAGUAAUUGUAUUCAUCAUUUUCAUAGCAAUAUCUAAGUAUAGCAAGAUUUUCAGGCCUACAAACUGCAUCAUCAAAAUCAUCAAACGCUUUAAACAUAGAUUCAAUCUCAUAAGCACCCGUAAAAGCAACAAAUUCUUCUAUUUGUUCCACAUCAUAGUAAUCAUAUCUACCAUUAGCAUAAGAAGCCAAGGUUUCAUUAUCAUUGAAUUUGCAUGAAAAGGGAAGGUGUGGAUCCUCCACCCUAGAGCAACAAGUAUAAUCAUGCAUCACACGUAAUUGACGAGCAUACCAACGCAAAAUAAUAAAUUGAUCCCAUAAUAGUUUCCCUUUUUGUGUCGAGCGAUAAUCCCUAAAGUAUUCACGUUGAUCCAACGUGUCUCCCAUUAUAAAGUUGAAUGGGGCUUUCUCAGGAUUAUCAAAGUAGUACAUAAUAUCUUUCGCAUAUUGAGAAUCGAGGGUUUUAGGAGUUACCCCAUCCUCAUGAGUAGCAAGUAUAGCUAAUUUUUUUGGUAUUUUGCGUUCCAUAUCCAUAACUACAGAUAGAGAAUAACUUAGAACAGCAAAUAAAAAUUACUUAGUGAUAAAGCAAACAAGCACACACGAGAAUAUUCACCCCACGCUAUGACUCCCCGGCAACGGCGCCAGAAAAAGGUCUUGAUAACCCGCAAGUAUACGGGACAGUUGUAGCCUCUUUCGAUAAGUAAGAGUCUCGAACCCAACGAGGAGCUAAAGGUAGAACAAAUACUCUCUCAAGUCCUAUCGGCCACUGAUACGACUCUAUGCAUGCUUGACGUUCGCUUUACCUAGAACAAGUAUGAAACUAGAAGUACUUUGUAGGUAUGAUAGGAUAGGUUUGCAAGAUAAUAAAGAACACGUAAAUAAAAAUUAGGGGCUGUUUAGAUAAAGAAGCAAUAAAGUAAAUAUUAGUAGAGAGCUUUUUGUUACGAGAAAGUUAUUUGUCCAAGGCAAUCGAUAACUAGACUGGUAAUCAUUAUUGCAAUUCUAUUUGAGGGAGAAGCAUAAGCUAGCAUAUCAUCCCUUACUUGGAAUUCUAUGCAUUUAUGAUUGGAACUCUAGCAAGCAUCUGCAACUACUAAAGAUUCAUUAAGGUAAAAACCAACCAUAGCAUUAAAGCAUCAAGUCCCCUUUUAUCCCAUACGCAAACAACCUACUUACUCGGCUUUGUGUUUCCGUCACUCACGCAACCCACCAUAAGCAAAUCAUAAACAUAUUCCAAGCCCUACAGCGGGAAUCCCUCACGCUUGCGCGACACGGAGGGCAUAAUAGGACAGCACCAAUAAUAAAACAUGCAACUAAAACCAAUCACGAUCAUCAAUUAACCCAUAGGACAAAACGGAUCUACUCAAACAUCAUAAGAUAGCCAUACAUCAUUGGGGAAUAAUAUAUAGCGUUGAGCACCAUGUUUAAGUAGAGAUUACAGCGGGUAAGAGAGAGGUUACACCGCUGCAUAGAGGGAGGAAGAGUUGGUGGAGAUGUUGGUGAUGAUGGCGACGGUGUUGGUGAAGAUCGCGGUGAUGAUGAUGGCCCCCAGCAGCGCUCCGGCGCCACCGAAAGCAAGGGGAAGAGAGCCCCCCUACUUCUUCUUCUUCCUUGACCUUCUCCCUAGAUGGGAGAAGGGUUUCCCAUCUGGUGCUUGGCUCCCAUGGCUUGGGAGGGGCGAGAGCCCCUCCGAGAUUGGAUCUGUCUAUCUGUUUUUGCGUUCUCUGUUUCUUCACCUUCACCGUUUCCUUUAUAUCUGGAGAUCCGUAACUCCGAUUGGGGUGAAUCUUUCGCCCAGAUCUUUCUCAUAAAAUUAGCUUUCUUGCGACAAAAGAAGAGCGUCAACCGCCUUACAGGUGGCCCACGAGAGCCCAGGGCGCGCCUAGGGAUAGGGGGUGCGCCCCCCUGUCUCGUGGCCACCUCGGACACUGUUUCGCGUUGAUUCUUCCUCCGAAAAAUCCAAAAUAUUCCAAAAUAAUUCUCCGUCCGUUUUUAUCCCGUUUGGAUUCCGUAUGAUAUUGGUUUUCGGCGAAACAUAAAACAUGCAAUAGACAAGAACUGGCACUGGGCACUGGAUCAAUAUGUUAGUCCCAAAAAAUAGUAUAAAAAGUUGCCAAAAGUAUAUAAAAGUUGAAUAAUAUUGGCAUGGAACAAUAAAAAAUUAUAGACACGACGGAGACGUAUCAAGCCCCAAGGUUAAAAAUUUCUGGCAUGCCUAGAUUUGCUAUGUGCUAAUCUUGCCAUUUCUUGCCAUGUGCUAUGUUUGGUAUGUAAGUUGCUAUAAAAGACAUUUUUUUCUAUGUAUAUAUGUUGACAUAUAUUUGAUAUGAUGAAAUUUAACAUUUUCUCUUCAUUACGACAUGUCAAAGAUUCAUCGACCAAAACAUUAACAGUUCCGAGGCACCGCAGUGAACCUAGAUGACAAUGCAUGUGUUUUACAAAUUCGCCAUGUGAAAUGAAUGCAUGUAACCCAAUGAUAUCAAUGUGUACUAUGUAAAUUAACGCGUGUGUUGCAAUUUGUAUAUUUGAAUUCAUAUAAAAUGUGAUACAUAAAAUUAUCUAUUUAAUGCAUACUUUUUAUAUUGAUAUAUGAAUCAUGUGUGCAAAUGCUACCACAACAUCAAAUACACUGCCGUGUCAUCUUUUCCCCCAAAACAAAGUACUAGUGUAGCGAAAAAAUACAAGCACAUCACCAAUUCCCCAAAAUACUAGCAUUGUGCCAUUAGUAUUUUGUAUUACAUGUUGCGUGAAAGUCCCAGACAAGACACUUGUAUGUACAUUACUAUUGUCGUGCAUGCAUGUUGGAGAUAUGCCCUAGAGGCAAUCAUGUAUGAUGAUAUUUCCUAUGUGUUUAUGAAUAAAGAUAGUCCUUAGACAUUAUCAAUGAUAGUACUUGGUGGUUGGCACGCCAUACUAGAAGCCGCUACCAGCCGAGCAUGUCGGAGGUGAUCUGACCUGUGACCAAGCUGACUUGAACCUAAGGGAUCGCGCGCUUAAGAGAAGGAACCUGUGAGGCUCGGUCCGACUCCACGAGUCAGGUGUGAUCCUACUUGGACUCGGAUCCAUGCCGAACAGACUUUGGGCUUUAGGAUCCGUGUGAGGCCCAAGCGUUGAGCCCAUGACGGAUAUGCCUAUAUAAAGUGGGGGUGCAGCACACUCAUGCGAUUGAUUGCUUCGGUAUUGUUACUAGGGUUUGCAUGUGUUGCGAAUAGCCACCUCCACUCGCUGCCGACUGUGUGAUCGGACCUAGCAGUCCACCGCACGGUGUUCCUCCAGCACGCGUGGAUACCGUUAGACACGGUGCACCUGCGCCGCUCUGGUGAACUUGUACGUGGGAUCGAACGACCGGCUAUUUGAGGGAUAUCGGACGAGGAGGAGACGAUCCAUGUUGACGUGCUGCCCCAACUCUACUUCCGCUGCAUGGCACUGCAUGUCUAGUGGUAAUGAUCUGUGAUCCAUCUCCCGUAGCAUGGUCUUGGUUGUUCUGCGAGUAGCAAAAUUUUAAUUUGCAGUUGAGGCACCCUACCGUAGAACCCAACAAGGCAGACACGCCACUAGUAAGUUACUCGCUCGUCAUUAAUAACCACUUACAAGUGGCAUCAUACUAGUGGUGUGCCGACCGAACACCGCUAGUAGGCACAUGCGCAAGCUGCUAAUAAGGGGGUCUUGUACAUUGGUGGUGGGAGUCACGAUGCUCGUGGGCGAAGCUCUCAGCUAUGGUGCGGGAUGGUGGCCAUGGACGUGCAGGGGGUGGGGUGAUUGUGGUACGGCGUUCAGUGGCGGUGAUGUGGGAGGUGUCUUCAUGACUAGUUGUAGUAUGUUGCAUAGGCUGCUGCCCUCUUCCUCAAGGUGCCACCCUCGAGUACAUGGUUGAGGGCUCUCAUGACUUCGAGAAAUGUGCUCUCUGUGCUACCAGCCAUUUUCUUGGAGUUUUUUUAUCUUUUUUCAAAAAGGAGAAUAACCUUGGCCUCUGCAUCAAACAAUGCACUCAUCCAUCUUUAUUAAAUUAUUCAAUAGAGACCGGCACAAUAAAUACAAGGAUCAAUCCAAAGCCACCUUUCCUACGAACUAUGUCGCUACACCUAUAAGCUUGAUGAUGAACCCCGACCGCACCAAUGCACACCAUCUAAUCUGGUGGCCAACCGAUGCACACCAUCCAAAGCCACCUUUCCUGCGAGCCGAUAUCACCAACCGUCCUAGCAAACCCAACGCGCACACCGCAUGCGCGUGCUUCAGGAUCCUGCGCUACCAUCUACCGCCGUUCCAUCUUCAAGAGUGAUCCUUGGACUGACCUUGCUAGGCCCAACUGUCGUCGAUGUUGUCAUGAUGUUAGACAAUGCCACUAGCCUCCGUGCGUCCAUCAACCCACCUCCAACACCGAUACUCCACCGCACCAUGCCGCCGAGACCCACCGUUCUCGAUGCGGUAGAUUUUUUUUAGAAAAGGAGGAUGACCCCCGGCCUCUGCAUCUGGGCGAUGCAUGGCCACUUUAUUAAUUAUUCUCACAAGACCUUAUAAAGUCAUACAGCAGUAAGACUGAAGCCACCUUCUAAGCAACAACUGUGGCUACACCUACCAGUUGAUGAAGGGGCGCUGAUAGUCUGGGCCUAAUACCAAACAGACAUCCCAGCCAAACCUAAACAUCUAAGACCUGAGGUCCCAACCAGGACGCCUGCCUGGUAUGGGGCACCUACUAGUCCGGCGCACUCCUCAGCCAGGACGCCUGUCGGGUAUGGGGCCGCCGCAGCCACCUGCCACGAGUCUAUCUUCAGAGUUGUACUGUUGCAUCUACCGUGCCAGGUCUCUCAGCCAUCGACGCCACCACGACGCCAAACAACGUCGUCCUCCUACGUGAGUCCAUCCUCCCACAUCGAACUCCAAAUCUGCACUGUGCCAUGCCGUCCAGAUCCGUCGCCAUCAAUGUAUGGAUGAAGCACCGCUCCACCAAAGAAGCCGUCCGCUGGUCCCGCGAAGCCGAGUGCACCUCCAAGAAUGCUGCCCCCAAGGGGGUUACGACACAUGAUUGCCGCCAACAUCCAAUCAGUUGAUCUAGGGUUUCCCCCGGAGGUAUUGAGUGGAGUUGGGAGCUUCACCUCGAUGAUGCCUUCAUGAAGGAAACGAUGAUAAGGGCAUCGUCAUCACCAUCUCAGGCCAUCGACCGAAGAUCAGGUUUUCACCCGGAUCUGUCCCAAGAAAUCCACCAACAACCUGUGCACCGUCUCGACCUCCUUCAAAGCCCCAGAUCCAGCCGCCUAGAUCCGGCGACCAACCGCAGCAACAGUGCCACCGUGGGACUCCUGGCGCACCGGCCACUGCUUGAGUGUGCCACCACUGGAUCCUAGGAGGAGGGCUCCCAUCCCGCCUCGCCAAGCCGCGAGACACACCAAGAAGGAUCCCGCGCGCUCGUCGCCGUCUCUGAUCCGAACCAAUCCAUAGCAGAUCGCUGUCACAGAUCCGCCUUGGACAGGGACUGCACCACGCCAUGCCUCCGCGGGAAGCCCGAGCUUCACCGGCCUCCACCCUCCAUGGCCGCUGCCCCUGGAUCCAGACAGAACUUUGCCGCUGCCACCGGCCAACUUCCGCCGCCGCCGACCGGCCAAGCUGCCAGUCACUGCAUGACCACGUGAGCACAGGCAGCCGGCCGACCAACUCUGACGAAGAAGAAGGCCACCACCACCAAGCCUAGGGCCGGCGCCCUGGACAUCCUCGUGUUGCAGAUCAAGUCUAGGAGCAGUGCCCCACCGACGGUGAUUGAGACCGAUAGCACAAUGAAUUAGCCCGACAUGAGUCAAGGCCAGAUCCAUCAUUGCUGGUGCCGUCCUCCCCCGCCACCGCCGCACCACUUCCUUGUCGCCGCUGAUCUACACCACCGCCGUCGAUCUGGCUGGAGAGGAGCGCCGCCUCCCAACCAAAUCGAGAUCCAAGGAGAAACCGCCGCCGCCGCCACGCCACAAGGGCUUUGCCCUGUGACGCCCUGGGCGACAGCGGCGGAGGGGAGCGGAGGAGGCACGAGGUUGUAGGAGGAGGGAGGGGGCUCCCCGGUGCGGGGCGGCGCCGCCGCACGGGGGAGGGACAGGAGGGACGGGGCUGUUACGUCUCUUGAUGCGGUAGAUGCGACACCACUCCACCUCUUGGCCCCUUCAUUCUCGGUACCUACUCCAAAUAGUGCCCCCAGGAGAGAGAAUGACACAAGUCCAUGUCAUCAUCCGAUUUGGGAGACCCAGAUCUGGGGUUUCUCCCAGAGCAGAUGCCUCUUAGAGGAAGAAGGGCACGCCAUCUGCAGUUGCCAACGAACCAAACGGUGCCCAGCAUCACAACGAGCCAUUUUCCUGGAGUUGUCUUGUUGUUCUUCAGCAUCUUUGUACAAUGCCUUAUGUGCAUGUGUUGUGGUGUCAUGUCGUGUUGUGUUGUAUGUUCUGAAUUGCAUGAUUUGUAUAUAAAGUGGAGCGGAAGUCUUUUUGAUAAACAAUAAGAUCAAUUACUUCAGUUGAAACUUGAAAGUGCAUUUUUUGGCUUUGACAACGGAAGUCAGGGCCAAGGCCGACCUCAUGCGCAGGAAAAGGGACAAGCACACGUACAUCCCAUAUGUACCCAAGCUCUUUUGUUGUUUUGGUUGCUUGUUGUUUGCUUCCGCUUAAUCAUACAAGAUUAUAGUUGGUUAAUAUAUUUCCUUGAAUAAUGCAUUAUCAUCUGAUUUCUUGAUUAGAUCGAUGUGCUCUCUAGUUUCAAACAGUUCUGGACAGGGCCUAUUUUGUUCAAUUGGAUAAUUUCAGUGCACAAAUUUAUCGAAUCGAAAUAAAUCAAUUUAUUUCCUCUGGUUUCCCUUUUUCUAGGAACCUAUUUGUUGGCAUUCCAUAGGACAUAUUUUUUGAGAAACCUAACCAAAUUAAUAUACAAAAAACUCACCUUUACUUAAUUGUGUCCCAGCCAUAUAUGCCUUCCCACUGGUUUNNNNNNNNNNNNNNNNNNNNNNNNNNNNNNNNNNNNNNNNNNNNNNNNNNNNNNNNNNNNNNNNNNNNNNNNNNNNNNNNNNNNNNNNNNNNNNNNNNNNNNNNNNNNNNNNNNNNNNNNNNNNNNNNNNNNNNNNNNNNNNNNNNNNNNNNNNNNNNNNNNNNNNNNNNNNNNNNNNNNNNNNNNNNNNNNNNNNNNNNNNNNNNNNNNNNNNNNNNNNNNNNNNNNNNNNNNNNNNNNNNNNNNNNNNGUAGCAUAACCUGAGUCGCCGUAAUUGGUCUGGGUCAACAUAUCAGCCAUUGUAUUGAUCCCCAAACUCGCGCACAACAUGCCACAUGAUUGGUUCACCGCGGCUGACCUCCUUGCCAUUGGAGAUCGUUGCAUGCGGCGCACCUUUCUUUGGACUGUCCGACAUCUUCACAUGGCCAAGAGCACGUGGAUACGAUACUGAAUGUUUGUCAGUGACCCAAGAUUACUCAUGCAAUUAGCUGGACACAUCUGAGGUUUUACACACUAGCAAACAUAGAGCACACAUGGAAUUUGAUGCCAUGAAAACUUGCUACAGCUUCUUUAUUUGGAAUACAGAGAGAAAUAAGGGUCGUUGCGUGACCGACCUAAACACACACCACGUUCCUAAUGACUCGUGCCACCCCACGAAUCAGAUCGUGCGUGCAUGAUCUACAGCUCCACUAUUAUCGCGUGUGAUCCGAUGUGCCAUGCCAUCCCAUGACUCGGUUCACGACACGGUAGAAACUGGAGCGACCCCAACCUGAUGCAUGGACUCGACGCAAACAUGCUUGCCGUCAAGACCGACUCUCAGCGCAUACCGCGUGCUCGCAGGCAGUUCUGUGGCGCGUUAUUUGGAACAAACAAAUUGAAAGGAUUUUUUUUAAGGCAUGCACUAAGUUUACUUCAAUGGAUCAGCCCUCGAUCCAAAAAACCCACAUCGCGAAGUGGUCUUAGUGGAUCUCGUCACUCUCCGAGU